UACGAGAGGCCCAAACAUUAUUCGGAAUUACUGGGCUUAAAGAGUUCGUAGGCGGCAUGGUAAGUAGGGUGUGAAAUCCCUCGGCUCAACCGAGGAAUUGCGCUCUAAACUACCGUGCUCGAGGAAGCUAGAGGUGAGCGGAACUGAUGGUGGAGCGGUGAAAUGCGUUGAUAUCAUCAGGAACACCGGAGGCGAAGGCGGCUCACUGGGGCUUUUCUGACGCUGAGGAACGAAAGCCAGGGGCAGACGGA
rnacentral:rRNA from 1 species